GGGGGCGUAUUGGUUUCGACAGGGGCGGUUAUGGUCUAGGUAGCGAGCCAGGGUUUCAUCUGCCUGUAAUACGGUGAACUUUAAAUUAAACGCAAACAAAGAAUACGCUUUAGCAGCUUAAUGCUAACGUCCUUUUUCUAUAAUCCUGCGGUAGGAUAAGGGCGUCACUUAGCAGGAUACUUUUAAACUUUUGUCUUGAGGAGUUUAAAGGGAAUUUUAUCAAGAUAGCUUGAUUAUAGCCUUUCUGUAGGCGAUAUGAUAGCGAAUUUUAAAUUACAGAAUGCGCUCGGAGAAGCUUAGGCAGUAAUGCUUUUGGACAGGGGUUCGACUCCCCUCGCCUCCACCA
rnacentral:tmRNA from 1 species